GUACUGAUGAAGAGUCCCAAACUAGGAUGAAACAGCAGCUGUCCAGUAC
rfam:Trichobilharzia regenti genome assembly, scaffold: TRE_scaffold0041921